GCGCGCGCCCCGGACGCCGGUCCUGCGGAGAGAGCGGCCCGGGGCGCCGAGGGUCCGCACCGCGCGGGGGGGCUGCCGCCGUGGCCGCCAUGUGCUCCCAGAUCUGGUUCCUAACGGACCGGCGCCUCAGCGAGGAUUACCCGCAGGUGCAGAUUCUGCGCGCCCUCCGGCAGCGCUGCUCCGAGCAGGACGUGCGCUUCCUGGCGGUGUUCAUGGACCAGCUUGCCGUCACAGUCAUCGGCGGCCACCUCGGACUCCAGCUGAACCAGAAGGCCCUCACCACCUUCCCAGAUGUGGUGGUUGUGCGGGUGUCCACGCCCUCCGUGCAGUCGGACAGCGACAUCACUGUCCUGAGGCACCUGGAGAAGCUGGGCUGCCGCUUGGUCAACAGCUCACAGAGCAUUUUAAACUGCAUCAACAAGUUCUGGACAUUCCAAGAGCUGGCCGGACAUGGGGUCCCCAUGCCAGACACCUUCUCGUAUGGUGGACAUGAUGACUUUUCAAAAAUGAUUGACGAGGCUGAGCCCCUGGGCUACCCAGUCGUGGUGAAGAGCACACGAGGCAACCAGGGAAAAGCUGUUUUUCUGGCAAGAGACAAGCAUCAUCUCUCAGACAUCUGCCAUCUGAUCCGCCACGAUGUGCCCUACCUGUUCCAGAAAUACGUGAAGGAGUCCCACGGAAAAGAUAUCCGAGUGGUGGUGGUUGGGGGUCAGGUGAUAGGCUCUAUGCUUCGCUGCUCCACAGAUGGACGGAUGCAGAGCAACUGCUCUCUUGGUGGUGUGGGUGUCAUGUGCCCACUGACAGAACAAGGCAAGCAGCUGGCAAUUCAGGUGUCCAACAUCCUGGGCAUGGACUUCUGUGGCAUUGAUCUUCUCAUCAUGGAUGAUGGCUCCUUUGUGGUGUGUGAAGCAAAUGCCAACGUUGGCUUCCUAGCCUUUGAUCAGGCAUGCAACUUAGAUGUGGGUGGGAUCAUUGCAGACUAUUCCAUGACCUUGCUGCCAAACAGGCAGACUGGGAAGAUGGCUAUCCUCCCAGGACUGUCAAGCCCCAGGGAGAAGAAGGAGCCAGAUGGUUGUGCUUCAGCUCAGGGAGUCACAGAGAGCGUCUACACCAUCAACAAUGGGUCUACCUCUAGCGAGAGUGAGCCUGAACUGGUAGAGGUCCGGGAUUCCUCAGCAAAUACAGUGGGGGGAUCACCCCCUGUGCUCUCUGAGCCUGGCUACAACAUUAACAAUAGGAUUGCUUCAGAAUUAAAACUUAAGUGAAUUCCUGCUUUUUGGCAGCAUUUAAACCAAAUCGUACUGCUUCCCUAGUAGUUUCAUGUGAAUAAAAUCUGGACUAAUGUGAUUUCAUUUGCACAGGAACAAGAAAUCCAAAUCUGGGCACUCAGCAUUCUUUCUAAUGAUGAUUUGAGCAAAUGGCCUAGCUUUGUGGUUUUUGCAAAGGCUAAUACGAAAACACUCACCACCACCGAAAUCUCAGCUGAUCAGUUUGAGACUAAGGCCUGCUGUGAGUACUUGGAUAGAAUGGUAGACUUUAAGGCACUGAUUCUGUGCUGCUGUUUCUGGCUAUUAGCAGUCAAGAACAUGAAUUUGGACUGGCUCCUGGAAACACUACUCACAACCAUAAGAUGGAAGCCUGUGCAGAUGAGGUGGAAUGUGACUAGAGUAAUAUGUUCUUCACUCAGCAUGUGUGUGAUGCUUGGAAAAUACAUAGCUGAAAUACUAUCAAGAGGAUCAGUCUCUGCUUCCCUUCAGUCACAUCCUGACCAUAUUUCUUCAACACUCAGGAUAUGGUGUUUUAGGACGCUUCUUCAUUAGCAUUCGCAAUGAAGCACUUUGUAGAAAGUGGGAUUGAAUGUUCUUUGACCUUACUGGUUGACAUAUGCCCUGCUUUGUAACUGGGACUUUCUGCAAAUUGCUUUGCCACUCUGAAUUCACCCUGCUUCAACUAAUGCCAGCUCCAGCAGCUUCUUGCACCUUUGCUGCCUUUGGCCUCAGCUGGAAAGGUACUUCAAUGGGCUGGUGGCCACACACUGUUUCUUAAGCGUGCACUAGAAUCUAACACCAUGGACUUGCUUUUCAACAAAUUCUGUUUGCUUGUCAUCCAGAAGCCAGUGGGUUUUUACCACAGAAAGUUACCAGAAGAUAAUCAUUUUUCCCCUUCCUCUGCUGAAACUUUAUGUACUGUGUAGCUGUAGAAGGGUUUCUGUAUGAGUCAAUGUUGUGGGCCUAUUGGGUAGAGCCAGCCAUUGGAAACACACUGCGAUCCCCUGGACAUUCUACUCUUAUCCAGGCUCCAGAAACCUGUCCUUACCCCCUUUACAAAACUGAGGAGACUCAGGUAGAUGUCUUUGAAGCCAGUUGCCCUGUAUAAAGAUACUGGGAUGCAUGGACUUGUGUCCAACCUGGAGAAUUGGGCGAGAUGUGCCUCAUCCCUUCUUUAAGUCUCAAGGAAUGCUGGUUUUGAGAACACUAUAAAUCUGAAGAAGAUGGAAGCAGCUAAUGGGGACAUGAUGUUCCAGGACCACUCAAGUAACAGCUGACCCUCCCAGAAUUGAAUGGAUCAGGAUACCAUGGGUGGUAAAGCCAAGAGCCACAACUUACUGAGGGAAGAGAAGGGAGUCAGGCCCGAACAUGAAUCCACCAUCAGACAAGCCACUUCAGCUUAAUACUUCCCUUUUCCCUGGAGGUGAGGCCUGUGUUUGCAGUUAGUCUGUGUAGAUGUUUUGGGAAGGACCCUGAAAACAGCUAAUUGUCAUUGUCCUUGAAGUUAAUGCUCUUAGGUUGGGGCUAUAGCCUUUUAGAAAACUUGCUGCUGCCUUUGACUUUGCCACCAAGAUUCAGAAUCAGUACAGAUGAUCACUUUAAAAUGUUUUUAUUUGGAGACCAUCCUUCUCAGGAUGUUUUAAUCUUCCCUAAAACUAGAUAAUGCCCCUUUCCAAAUUUAUGGCUCUGCUCUGCAGCCCUCCCUCCUAAAAUGCACACAGCUGAAUGUGAACUUUCUUCCUUCAUGCCUUCUGAUUCCCUUCUUCAGGUACAGUUCCUGCCAACAUGCGACAUUAUCCCAAGCCCCGGGCCGAUAUCUUAACCCUAUUUUGUGACCCUGUUCUGUGAAGUUCAUGUUCUCUAGGACUCCAAAGCAACAUUAGGAAAAUCACCCCCAAGAGCUAGAUUGGAGGGCACAGGAAUUGCAGCUCUUGGAGAGCAGUCUAGUCCUCGUUUUAUAAAAAGGAAUUCUGGCUCCAGAUGCCACAGUCACUUUGCCAGUCAGCAGCAAGGCUGAAUCCAGGCAAGGUGACUUUCAUCCAGGUUAGUACACAGCCAGAGGUGGUUCUGUUCCUUAUACAUCUAGCACUUUCUACUGUCCUGGGCCCACCCUCUGCUCAUUCCCCUUCUGAUGAGCUUCUUCUGAAUCAAUGUAGUGGUGAUGGGCACAUUGCUUCAGCGCUUGCAUGGAUCUUGGUGAGAGCCCCAAAGGCGCAAGAGAUUUCCAGGGUGCAAGCUGGUUCCUGUCCUGCACCCUCUUCAAAAUUAGCCAAGACCAUUUAGCUCCACCCCAUACUCACUGAUAGCUGACUGAGGGCUUCCUCGGCCCUAAUUUGGCGAAUGUCCUCUCACUGCACAGGGCCUUGAAGGCCAAGGAUUUGGCGUUAUGAACUCCCAUCAGGCACGCCUAAAGGGGAAUCUGCCACACACUCUGCUUGCAAUCAGCAACAAGGCCAGAAGUUUCCUCCCACUUUCUAUGGCACAGUGUGUCCCCCUUACAGCAAGACACUAGGCUCAGAUUCUUCUGUGUUACAGCCCAAAUGUCAGCUGAGAACCCCUUACCCUUCAAAUCCAAGUGGAUCUAACAGCUGCUCACAUUCUGAUCCCUUGUAUUUCUGUGAUUUCUAAGGGAUUUUUUUUUAUAGCUACUACUGAUUUCAGACUUCUGCUACCUCAUUGUAAGCAACAGUGUUGUCUCAUCCCCGCACUGCAUCAGUGAAGACAUGAAGCUCAGUGCCCUCCCCCAUUUCCACCUGUAGCAAAAUUCAGAUGAAUGUGUGUACCUGCAUACUCAUCUGGAUGUGAGAGGGAAAAGCAGACACUGUAGCAAUGCAGUCUUGGCAACAUGCUCAGAAUCUUCUUUUCAUAUACUGCAAAGGAAUCUCCACUCACUUGCCAUUCCACGUGGUCCCCAUCUCUCUUGGAACAUGGCAAGUCCAUUUAUGUUCUUAUGUAUAAUCAUUCCUUUAUUUUUUUAACUUUGAUUCCUAGCACUUGUACCUUCAUGAUUUCAACCUUUAGCAUGGGUGGCUUACAGAAGGAAUUUCCCGAACAAAGCCAACUCCUUCCUCAAGGGGAACUCACAUGCUAUCUCUGAAGCGGACACAUUUCAUUCUCACUAGGAUAACCCAGCAACCUAGCAACCAUGCUCACCACUAGCGUGUCAGGGGUAUACCCAUGGAAGGCAAUAGGGGCUAGUGUGAAUGGCAGCAGUUUGAGUCAAGUGGGAUUCAAAACCUGACAUAAGCUAGAGCUUGUAGGUACAGUCACCUCAACUUGCUAAGUCUUGCUUUUGACACUUCUGAUGCAAUCAAUAAACACAAUCUUGAAAAUGAAGCACUUUUUCUUCAGGUUCCUUUCCUUUGGCUGCCCCCACUGUGAGCAAUCACAAGCCUUCCUGUGCUUGUGGCUCAGUGCCAAGGGAUCAAAGCUGGCAGACAGCAGCUUUGCAGCUGGGAAUAGGGAUGCUGGGGGUAGGGCUGGCGGCUGCUCAAGCAGGCUGUCAUUUGAGCUUAAUGAUAGGAAAGUCUCAUCCAUCCUUGAGAUUCUAUGAUGCUAUACAAAAGAUACAGGGGAUGUAUCUGGCUUAGAAAUAUCCUGAAGGAAAGGCUGCCUCGGACAACUGGGAGGCUGGAAAGCUGAUGAGCAGCCUGGCCUUUAGUGAUUUAGCACCUGGUUUUUUUGGCUCUUCCUGUAUUAGGUUUACUGGCUUUGCAUCAGAUGAAAGGAGGAGGUGCCAAGGACUUGAAUUCAACCUGUCAAACAGAGGAUGAGGGGAAUGCAGGAGGCCCAGGCUGUCCAGGGAACUGAUACACAGCACCAUCUGCACUUGACAAGAAUGACAGCCCUGAGAUAGAUGGGACCAGCCAAUAAAGUAGCUACACUUCUACUGUCCAGAGCCUGUCCUGAGUGGGACUCUUAGAAUCUCCUGUUUAGAAGGAUACUGAUUUCCUACAAGGGAAGAGCUGGGGGCCCAUGAUCACUCUAUGGAGCCAACAAAGUUCUUUGUGGAGGCAGGACUAGGCUGUGCUGGGUGAGUUUACAUGCACCUAGAGGUCCCCCGAGCUCCAGCAGUAUACUGAAGCAGGCUUGUACCAGCCAAGACAGCAGAUUGUUAAAUUUCCAGGAAUGUUGUGAGCUGGUUAUUAAACACAACCAUUAUUAGACAUUAUAUAAACUUACAAUUAAGAUAUAGGUAAGAAAAACUCAAAACUUAUGAACUUCCUAAUUAUUUUACUAUUUAUGUUCUUGAGGCUGUUGACAUCCAUUGUAUUUGUAUGGUGGGAAAACUGCAUAAUUGUAUGCCACUGCCCCUCUCUUCCCAACUCCACCAUUCAAAGACAUCACACUUGUAGCUUAGAAUCAGCCACAGUGGGAAUAUCUACACCAGAAAUGGGCAAACACCACAUAGCAUGUCUGCCACUCCUGUGAGCUGGUUGUUAAACAUUUAAGAGUGCACCACCACUUCUGGGUGACAGAGAAAAGAAACUGAGACACGUAAACUGAAACAUUUUCAUUUCAGGGAGGUAGGACAUGUGAAGAUUUUCUCAGAAGCAAGGGUCCUGGUAAAUUGUGCACAACCCAUUCAAAGAAAACCACUUGAAAACACCACUUUUACACAUGUGUGUGUGCAUGCAUGUGUGUGUGCGAGUGCGUGUAAAACAGCUUCUGUGUUUUUCAUACAUGAAAAACUCCUUUUCCUUUUGCUCUGAUUCAUGAGGUCAAUCUCACCUGGGGGAGGUAUUCCAGCUGAGUACCCUCCAGAAAAGUUCAUUGUUGGCAAAUUGAAAGUGCAUUAAUUGGCAAAAUGAAAAUGUGCUUUAAAGAAUAGAUCUUAAC